UACGAAGGGGCUAGCGUUGCUCGGAAUCACUGGGCGUAAAGGGUGCGUAGGCGGGUCUUUUAAGUCAGGGGUGAAAUCCUGGAGCUCAACUCCAGAACUGCCUUUGAUACUGAAGAUCUUGAGUUCGGGAGAGGUGAGUGGAACUGCGAGUGUAGAGGUGAAAUUCGUAGAUAUUCGGAAGAACACCAGUGGCGAAGGCGGCUCACUGGACUGGUAUUGACGCUGAGGUGCGAAAGCGUGGGGAGCAAACAGGG
rnacentral:rRNA from 1 species